AACAAAAGGUCUCUUCCUUCUCGUCCUCUCUUCUUCUUUUUUUUUGCGCUCUGCGUGGGGCGUGGAAAAAAGGGAAGAAGAGGUUUGAGUAAAGGUCGCCGGAAUGAAGAAAAGGCCUGUGGGUCUUUGAACGUUCUUUUUCUUUCUUUUUUU
rnacentral:ribozyme from 14 species